UACGGGGGGAGCAAGCGUUGUUCGGAUUUACUGGGCGUAAAGGGCGCGUAGGCGGCCAGUGCAAGUCAGUUGUGAAAUCUCCGAGCUUAACUCGGAAAGGUCAACUGAUACUGCUCGGCUAGAGUGCGGAAGGGGCAACUGGAAUUCUUGGUGUAGCGGCGAAAUGCGUAGAUAUCAAGAGGAACACCUGCGGCGAAGGCGGGUUGCUGGGCCGACACUGACGCUGAUGCGCGAAAGCUAGGGGAGCGAACGGG
rnacentral:rRNA from 1 species